rnacentral:piRNA from 1 species
UACCGUAGACUUGAAAAAAAUAACCUUAACCC